AUAUAAUACGUACAAAAUGUUUGGAUUUUCAACAUAUCUAGUGUAACUUGUUUCAGAAGAUACAUCUGCGUCUGCCUCUGGAUAUGAGACCCUGGAUCAUUCAGACGAAUGGAUUACUGAUUGCCUUAAUGAUAAUGAGAUGCAUUUCAGCUCUGAUACUAUGAAUACUUCUGGCACAUCUAAUUUUCAAAUUGAUAUCGCAGAGUUUUGCGAGAUUGCACCCGAGUAUAAAAAUAAUUUGCCACAACAACGUGUUUCUACUCCACAGAAGAUAGUUUUCAAAGGUA